UACAGAGGGGGCAAGCGUUGUUCGGAAUUACUGGGCGUAAAGGGCGCGUAGGCGGCCUUCUAAGUCGAACGUGAAAUCCCCGGGCUCAACCCGGGAACUGCGUCCGAUACUGGCAGGCUCGAAUCCGGGAGAGGGAUGUGGAAUUCCAGGUGUAGCGGUGAAAUGCGUAGAUAUCUGGAGGAACACCGGUGGCGAAGGCGGCAUCCUGGACCGGCAUUGACGCUGAGGCGCGAAAGCUAGGGGAGCAAACGGG
rnacentral:rRNA from 1 species